rnacentral:rRNA from 1 species
GUCGAGGGGCAGCGAGUAGAUUGCUUGCAAUCUACGUCGGCGACCCGUGCACGGGUGCGUAACGCGUAUGCAACCUACCCAUUACAGGGGGAUAACACUGAGAAAUCGGUACUAAUACCCCAUAACAUCCAGGGAGGCAUCUUCUUGGGUUGAAAACUCCGGUGGUAAUGGAUGGGCAUGCGUUGUAUUAGUUAGUUGGUGGGGUAACGGCUCACCAAGACGACGAUACAUAGGGGGACUGAGAGGUUAACCCCCCACAUUGGUACUGAGACACGGACCAAACUCCUACGGGAGGCAGCAGUGAGGAAUAUUGGUCAAUGGACGCAAGUCUGAACCAGCCAUGCCGCGUGCAGGAAGACGGCUCUAUGAGUUGUAAACUGCUUUUGUACGAGGGUAAACGCAGAUACGUGUAUCUGUCUGAAAGUAUCGUACGAAUAAGGAUCGGCUAACUCCGUGCCAGCAGCCGCGGUAAUACGGAGGAUUCAAGCGUUAUCCGGAUUUAUUGGGUUUAAAGGGUGCGUAGGCGGUCGGAUAAGUUAGAGGUGAAAUCCCGGGGCUCAACUUCGGAAUUGCCUCUGAUACUGUUCGGCUAGAGAGUAGUUGCGGUAGGCGGAAUGUAUGGUGUAGCGGUGAAAUGCUUAGAGAUCAUACAGAACACCGAUUGCGAAGGCAGCUUACCAAGCUACUUCUGACGUU